CUUUACUUAGACUUACGUGGACUACUUCCCAAUGAGAAAAUCUCAAUUAUCCUUUCUUCUUUCUAAGAAGUUCCUUGCAAAUAUGAUAUAACUUUAUAUAACUUAUUUCUGUUAAUUUAUUUUAAAAUAUGUAUGCCAAAAUUUGUCAGUUUAUUUGUUUGUUUCUGCUGUGGAAAUCUUCUCUCGCCUUCCCGAAUCUAGCAAAAGUUAAUUAUUUGGUAUAUAUACUGAGUUUAUGAUUAUUUUAAAAUAUAUGAUGAUUUUUUUUAAAAAAAGUUUAUGAUGUAAUAUAACUAAAACUCUUCUAACAAAUAGCAUGACAUAAUUAAACAAAAUUAGUAUUAGAUAUAAUGUAUAACCACAUUGCUAUAUCAGUUCGAAAAACCCACAUUGCUAUAAAUACAGCACUAGACUAUAGCUUCUUUCA
rnacentral:lncRNA from 1 species